rnacentral:rRNA from 1 species
UUUAUGUUUAACGGCCGCGGUACUCUGACCGUGCAAAGGUAGCGUAAUCACUUGUCUUUUAAAUAAGGACUAGUAUGAAUGGCAUCACGAGGACUUAGCUGUCUCCCUCAUCUAAUCAGUGAAACUGAUCUCCCUGUGAAAAAGCAGGGAUUUACACAUAAGACGAGAAGACCCUAUGGAGCUUUAAACCAAAAACUACCUGUUUAAUCUACUGUGUUAAGAUAGUACUAAAACAACUGAUCUAGUUUAGGUUUUCAGUUGGGGUGACUGUGGAGAAAAAUAAAUCCUCCAUGCAGACUUAAGCUUUGAGCAGCCGCUCUACGCAUUAGCAAGUCUAACUGCACUUGAUCCAAUCUUUUUGAUCAACGGACCAAGUUACCCUAGGGAUAACAGCGCAAUCCAUUUUAAGAGUCCAUAUCGACAAAUGGGUUUACGACCUCGAUGUUGGAUUAGGACACCCGAGUGGUGCAGCCGCUACUUAAGGUUCGUUUGUUCAACGAUUAAAGUCCUACGUGAUCU